rnacentral:rRNA from 1 species
GCUUCUCUUGAGAGCGGCGGACGGGUGAGUAAUGCCUAGGAAUCUGCCUGGUAGUGGGGGAUAACGUUCGGAAACGGACGCUAAUACCGCAUACGUCCUACGGGAGAAAGCAGGGGACCUUCGGGCCUUGCGCUAUCAGAUGAGCCUAGGUCGGAUUAGCUAGUUGGUGAGGUAAUGGCUCACCAAGGCAACGAUCCGUAACUGGUCUGAGAGGAUGAUCAGUCACACUGGAACUGAGACACGGUCCAGACUCCUACGGGAGGCAGCAGUGGGGAAUAUUGGACAAUGGGCGAAAGCCUGAUCCAGCCAUGCCGCGUGUGUGAAGAAGGUCUUCGGAUUGUAAAGCACUUUAAGUUGGGAGGAAGGGCAUUAACCUAAUACGUUAGUGUUUUGACGUUACCGACAGAAUAAGCACCGGCUAACUCUGUGCCAGCAGCCGCGGUAAUACAGAGGGUGCAAGCGUUAAUCGGAAUUACUGGGCGUAAAGCGCGCGUAGGUGGUUUGUUAAGUUGGAUGUGAAAUCCCCGGGCUCAACCUGGGAACUGCAUUCAAAACUGACUGACUAGAGUAUGGUAGA